UAGUCUUAUUUGCCUCAGUCUUGCCAGAUAAACCUAAAAUAGGAACAACAAAAACAAAUAUUUACUUAAAAGAAACACUAUGAACAUUUUUACUGCUAAAAAAAUUAUAGAAAAGUGUUAAUCUGAAUACAAGAAACAAAAGUUCUGAAAUUUGGUUAAUGAAAUGAAAUAUUAGCUUUCAAGUAUUUAAAGGAAUUUAUUUCUGCAAAGAAAGAAAUGUUAUAAUUACAAAAUUUUAAAUUAUAUCAAAAGAAAAGAAAUUGAAACUCAGAAGACUGAGUAACAGUUAUGGGGCAAAAUUAUGACACAGCAUGUCAGUCAAAAUAUAUUAACAGGUUCCUAUAGACUUAACAAAAUCUUAAAAUAAUUGUUAAGCAUUUAAAUCAUGCAAGAAAAGAAGGCGAUAAACUUAAAAAUGGCUGCGUGGCGGAGGUGCUGAGCAUGCGGAAAGCAUACCUCUUCCUCCUUGUUCCUGGGCUUCCCUCCUCUUGAAGAGCUGGGCCUGCCUCCAUAUAGAGAUGCCAGGUUUUGCAGGAUUCCCUGUUUGUCAUUUAAUGUGCUAAGUUUAAAGAAUGCAUGGGGCUACAUUGCCUGCUAUCCAGGCACAUCCACAUGCCACUUAUUUCUUUUAGAUUAUGCUGGCCAUUUCUAGAUACCACUGAAGAAGUUUUGGCACUUCCCGUGGCCAUGUUGGCAUGUAAACUCAGCAAGAACAGAAGCCAUCAACUCCAAGUAUAAUUACUUAAGUACAGAGACUGCAAAUGCUGUUAUAGUCAUUAAAGACUGUACGAGUGUUUUCCUUGUCAAAAUCCAAAGCAUUUUAUUUAUUUAUUUAUUUAUUUAUUUAUUUAUUUAUUUAUUUAUUUAUUUAUUUAUUUAUUUAUUUAUGUCUUUAAAAAAAGAUCCAAUCCUUUCGCUGCUCAACAGCAGGGAGAUAGAACUUGUAGAGACCACUCCAAUUAACUCUCAAAUUAACCCAGAAUUGUUGCUGUCUAAAUAACAUCCAAGGACAAAAACUAGAGCAGAGACUGAAGGAAAGGCCAU
rnacentral:lncRNA from 1 species